rnacentral:rRNA from 1 species
AUGGGUAGGAAAUGCAAAAUACCAAAAAAAAUAGUUGUACCUACUAAACCAAUGGUUGAAGAACCACUCAAAGUCUAUCACACUGUUGAAGCUUACUACUUGGAUCAUCUUCGAUCCCUAUGUGCUCGUGCUGAAACCCCAACUAGCUUAGUUGAGGGCAAAUCUUUAGAUGAGCAUGCUUGUUAUGUGCGACACCGAAUAUCUGAAAAAGGGAAAACUUUACUAGAUCAAAUUCAUCGUUUGCAAUGCUAUGCUUGGAAUUUAUGUGAAAUAUAUGAUUAUACUUGUUGUUCUAAAGACCCUAAGAAACACCUUCCCUACCAAUGUUUGUUUAGUGAUAAUGGAAUCGUAUCCUCUUAUGCUAAGGGUGUUUAUAAUUACUAUGAUGUUCAACAAAUUGAAGAAUUUGUUGCUUUUAAGGGUGCUUACAAAAUUGCUUCUUUAAUUAAAAAGUAUGAUGCUACUCAUUGCAAAUCUGGAAAUUUUGCCAUAUUUAAAUAUUUCUAUGAUAAUUAUGCUUCUAAUGCCUAUGUUGAACCAUAUAUUGACUACUACUCCGCUGUCCAAGAAGAGACUAAUAUUUUGCAGGAGUCUAUGGAAGAAGAAAUUGAUGAAAUUGUGAGCUCAUUGGAUGAAAAAGAUGAGGAGGAGAGCGAAGAACAAAAGGAGGAAGAGUGGAUUAUCUACCCGUUCCCACCUUCUAGUGAGAGUAACUCUUCAACUCAUACAUUGUUUAAUUUCCCUUCGUGCUUACCGGAGGAUGAUUGCUAUGAUGAUUGUUAUGAUCUAGUUGAUUCUUUUGAAAUAUCCCUUUUUGAUGAUGCUUGCUAUGCUUGUGGCCAAGAUGCCAAUAUGAAUUAUGCUUAUGGAGAUGAACUUGCUAUAGUUCCUUAUGUUAAACAUGAAAUUGUUGCUAUUGCACCCACGCAUGAUAGUCCCAUUAUCUUUUUGAAUUCUCCCGACUACACUAUAUCGAAGAAGUUUGCACUUAUUAAGGAUUAUAUUGAUGGGUUGCCUUUUACCGUUGCACAUGAUGAUUUUGAUAAGUAUAAUAUGCAUGUGAUUGCUGCUCCUACUUGCAAUUAUUAUGAGAGAGGAACUAUACCUCUACCUCUCUAUGUUUCCAACACGAUAAAGUUGCAAGAAAUUGUUUAUACUAUGCAAUGGCCUUUACUAUGUGUGCAUGAAUUGUUCUUUUAUGACAUGCCUAUGCAUAGGAAGAGAGUUAGACUUCGUCAUUGCUUGAUAUAUGUUUCUUUGUGCUCACUACUAAAUUACAAAUCAUUGUUAAUUAAAAUUGGCUUUGAUAUACCAUGGGAUCCGGGUGGAUUCACUACUUGA